ensembl:lncRNA
UUCGCUUGCGCGGCUUUUCAGAGUGUGCAGUUUUUCUCCGAGUUUUACCGCUUUUCCCGAAGGGGUUGAAUCGCUGCCUUGGUAUCUACCUGAACUGUUUGGAGUCGUUGUGUUAGAAAUAAAGCCUCUUGCGUUCUUGGCUGUGAGGUCUCUGUCCAGGAACUGAGGAUUUGGAAGCAGGCAGAUAUGAUUCCGAAGCCUGGAAGCUGACAUGCCGACUGUGUGUUGUUGAGUGUGUCACUCGUCUCCUGGAAUCUCAAUGUCCGAUUGGGCCUGUCCCUCAAAGGCUGAAUUUAUCAUCCGUUGAUUUUCACUGGUUUCAGGAUCAAAAGGGGUGAAAACCCAGAAGGUCUCACACAGCCUUUCGUAGAAAUCGGCCAGGCUUUCAUCUGGAUCAUGUAGCACCUUAGUGGUCUUAGCCAUGUUAGCAGGCUUCUUAGCCCCGCCUUUUACACUUUGUAGGAGAGAGGGCCUGUGAAUCUCUCUCCAACUGGUUUCUCCCCGCCUCUGCAUUGAGGUGCCAGCAAGUCUCUUCCUCUGGGAAGUUCUCCCAAGCCCAGUUCUCCACAUCUAAUUGGCCGCCUGGGGCAUUGGCCUGGAGCCAUUUUCUAGCCUUUGUCAUGACUCAUCCCCAUUCCUCUGUAUUGAAUAGGGUGCAGGCAGUUUCCCCAGGUGGGGCGGUGGGUCUGGUAGAUGGAUUCUAAGAGACCAAUCACCGCUUGGGGCUUUUCAGAGUAUGAGGGGGUGUGCUGUUUCCAGUUAAGGAGAUCAGUCAUGGAAAAAGGCUGGUAGUCAAAAAUGGAUCAACAGAGCAGAAACUGUGAGCUUGUGUAUGUCUCUUGAUGUAAUUGUAGAUUUGUGGGACCACUGUCCGGAGAUGUCACUGGCCAUCCUUUCCUGGUUCCUGUUUUGGACAGGGGCGCCACAGACAUACACUGACCAGGCUCCCCGAGCCUUUGGAUGCCUCAUGCCUCCUCUUCUUGUUGCUCCAAGUCUCAUGUUCUGUCACCUUCCUCUCUGUGUCUGAUGUGAGCCAGGCACAUGCACACACACAGAAAGACACGCAAACACAGGCGACAUAAGCAUACCUGUGUAAACACACACAAGGAAGGCACAGAGACAAACAGGGAACACAGGUGUUCCAGUAGCUGAGGACGCCUGUGUCCAGCAAUAUGGGAGAUGGUGUCAGUAGGCGCCGUGUCCUGCCCUUUUGGGAUCCCUGUCCAUUUCUUCCCCCAGCUGUUCAGUAUUAUCACCAGCCAGCCUUAAGUCGUCUCUGACUUUGUGGUGGUGAUGAGAGGCCAAUCAGUGGAUGUGGAAAUUCACAGAAGACCCCAAAGUCAGCACAAAAGUACCAAGGGACAGUGGAGAGAAACCCAUUCCAACUGGUGGUGCUUUCCAGGAGGAAGGUCUGGACUUAAGGGCCCAGGGGAAUCUCAAACUCAGUGAGCAGCAAGAGGCCUGGGGGUGGCUCAACCUGGGGAAAGAUGAUUCUGACUAAGGUGCUUGAUUCACCCUGCCUCUAUCAGAAUCACCUAGGAUUCUCAUCUUGUAAUCACAGCUUCUUUGACUGAGGCCUGGACACAUGAAGUCCCCAAGCCUCCAGUCUCAGCCUGUCACUUGCUACCAGUAUGACCUGAAUCCAAGCUCCACAUCCAACCUGCAUGAGCCUAAGCAUCCCCAUUUGGGAAAGGAGAGUGUCCCAGCCUCUAUGUGGCUGUCCCUUUAAGGCCCAACUUUGAUUCCCUCACAACCUGUGUUUCUGUCAGUAACCUCUCAUGGCAGGAUCUACCUCCUUGGGAAGUACUGCAGCAGGUCGAGUCACAGGACUUUGCUGAUUAUCUGCUGGAGGCAUGAACAAGGUCAGCAUGGGGCUCACCAGGACCUGAACCCUUCGUGAACAGCGAAAAAUUCCAACACAAAUCGCCAAUUCUGCGAAGGCUUAGAGCAACCCCAUCUCAGCAAUCCUGUGUGAUCCUGGGCUGUUGUGAUCCAAUAACCAGCUGAGGAAUUUAAAGCUGCUGGUUUCCAGCCUGCAGCUUGGAGCUCCCCAUUUAUAAACCCAGAACCAGUGGGCUGGAGUGGAAUGACAGGGCAUAUACCCUGGAGGAAACAGGCGAGGCAGGGAAGGAUCGCACAGGAGGAGCAUCGACUCCCUUCCCCACCCACCCACACCACCCUGGGAGACAGGUUGUAUCAGUGAUAUUAAGGUAGUACUCCUUAACGAUCAGUGUGUUCCUAAAGUAGGGUUUAUUCCGAAAAGCAACUUAGCAGCAUGCAGCGGGACCAGGGAUGCCUCAGUUUCUGCACCUGCCAAGUUUCUGGAGUCCGUAGUUUGCCUGCAGGGCAGGCAUCAACAGCUUCUGCUUCUCCACUCCAAGUGCUCACACCACAUAAGAUGAUCCCCCACUUCCCUCCCCAGCCCCCUCUACCCACCUGUCCUCAUUCUCCCUCACUGACCUUCAAAUCAAUCAUGUAGCUAAGUAAGACUUCAUCUUGUUCACUGAUCAUGACGUAUAGUUGGUGGUUGUUCACAAUCCGCUGCAGGUAAAGGAUCCAGUCAUUCCACAUGCCGGGCCAGGUAGAUCCAGAAGCGACAGGGCUAGUCUGGGAAGAAACAAGUGAGAGGGUAAGAGGCAGGGAGGCUAGGGGCCUGCCAAUGGAGGAAAUAGGCUGCAAGUGUCAGACAUUUUUCUCUCUUAAGGAGCAGGAGGAAACAAACUACAAGUGUCAGAUUUUUUCUGUAUAGAAAAUUAAAAGGUUUCUUUUAAAAUUCUGUGUUGCCAUGAUGACACCUGUUUCCACCUGAACUUAACUUUUCUCAAACCUUGAGCUAACCUCUGUUUUUCUUAUGGAAAUGUUUUUCUUAAGCUAUGUUAAUGAACUGUGUAUUUACACUUGACUCUCUUUCUUCAUGUUUGUUCCACCUAAGGCUCAGAAGGGUGAAUGCCUCAACAAACAAGUAUGUUUUACUCAUACAAUUUUUCUCCUAAUCUGUGCUAAUAAGACUAUGUAUUUGCUUGGAAACCUGCCUUUCUUCAAGAUUCAUGUCAAUUGUUUUAUGGCCCAGGAUGACUCACCUUGUGCCAAUGUUAUCUCAAGACACAUGUUGUGGGUGAGGGGCCUGGUGCCACUCUCUGUGUGUUGAAACAUUUCCUUUGUCUAAUUAGCAGCCUGCUAUUCAGUAUAUAACUUCCUGCUAAAGACUAGCAGGGUCACUCUUUCUGCCCUCUUCUGAUAUCUAUGUCAGAAUCUUACUCUAUCUCUUUUAUACUUUAAUAAAACUUGAUUACACAA